ACAUCGGCUAGUUCCGUAACUCUCCUCCCCCCCCCGCCGGCCGGCCCGCCUCGUCCUCCUCUCCCGAUCGCUACCUGGCUUCGGAAAACAUCGGUUAUUUCCGUAGAGAUGUUUCCAGGCUCCCGUCGGGGUGGCGCUGCGCUCGGAAACGCUCGGGUAUUUCCGUGACCUGCUCAGCUGGCGGCUCGGAUGCGCUGCCGGUGGGAGCAGUCGUUAGCCGGCCGCGCCCGGCUGAUUGGUCGAGGGACGCGCCGGCCCGGGCCGAGGGGAGCCGGGGCACAGCCGCCUUUCUCGGUGGGAGCCGACGGGGCAGGAACGCCAGGCAGCGUGCAGAAGGCUGUUGGUGAGGGGACUUCAGGGAGCAGUGGCAGAGCUCAGGGAGGGGAGCGGAGGAUGACUCAGCAGGGUGCUGUUCUUCAGGGUUACAAUAAUGAGCUAGUGAAAUGCAUUGAAGACUUGUGUAUGCAAAAAGAAGAGCUGAACAAACAAAUACAGCAAGCAGAAGAGGAAAAAAAUAAACUCCAGCAUGAAAUCCAAGUCCUGAGUGAACAGCUGGAGUGUGUGUGUGAAAACCUGGCCCAAAAGGUAGCUUCACGGAAUGAGCUUGAUAAAAUUCUUGCUGAAACUGAAGCUGCUUACAUGAAGAUUUUGGAUAGCUCUAGAACUUUGCUUAAUGUCCUGAAGAAGGAAGUGGGAAGCUUAAAGCAUACACCAGAACUGAAAACCAAUGUAACGUGAAACAGUCAAAUGUUUGGACUCCACAGUGCUAAAAUUCCACUAGAGAUGCUUACCCUUCAGUUCAUGUACCUCCUCACAUGCAGUGUUUGCUAAUCACCUCACAGGAAUGGAGGUUUGGUCCAUAUCGGAGGAAAACAGGUACCUGUAGACAGAGAUCAUGUUCAGGAAAAGCAUUUGAGAAGAGUCAUAUCAGCCUCCCUCUGGAGGUAAGAUUGAUUGUGAUUCCACUGACUGUGAUGGGAGCUUUGGUUUCACCUCACUUCAAGGCCUAUGAAGUUAUGCGGGAUGACGACUUCUCUCUGCUUACCACCACGCGUAUUUUGUAGACUAUAUGUACUUGGCCUAGGAGGAUUUGUAAUGGUGUUGAGUGUUCUUGUUAAUUAUCUUCUUAGAGGCAGACACGCAGCUUCCUGCAGUGCCCAGCCUAAAUCGAGAAGAUGGAAGUGUUAGGUGGAGACUGUAAAACAAAGUAAGAGGUCAAACAGUUACUUUUAAACAUUUUUCAAAGUGUGAUACCAAAUAGACUGGUCAUAGAGCAUUUUAAAGCUAAAACUUCAUAGGUGUUAUUUUUUUGAGCUUCACACGUGUAGGUUCUCAUGCACCAGUGGGAGUUCCUUGAGAACUUGAGGUUUUCCAUUAAUACGCUGUAUAUGGGAGCACUUUUAAAUUAUUAUUUCCUUCAUAGUCUGUGACAGAUCUGUAACUUACAAUUAUUUUUUUAAACCACUCCAUAUAGUUUUUUUAGUUGGAGUAAAAAAAAUAGCUAAUUUCUUUCCUAAAUGCUUUCAAAUCUCCCUAUCUGUAUUCAGAAUUAGAUCAAAUUAUUACUUGUAGUAGUCUCUUUUUAAUGUUAUAUGGUUAUUAAAAAGUUGAUAUAACUUAGAGAUCCAUUCUGAUCGGGCACGUUCUCAGUUCCAGUGACAAAUCCUUUUAGUAUUCUUCAAGUUUUAAAUUUUUUGUGCGUUUUUUUAAUGUGGUUGGUAUUCAGGGCUGAAAAAUAUUCUGCCAGAUGUCUGAAAACAAAAAAACUAGCAGUAAUUCUUCAUAUGUUUAUGCAGUUGUUCAGUAACAGAAAUCCUGCUGGAGAUCUGUUCUCACUUCUUACUGUCCAAGAGUAAACGGGAUUACUUGCUGUAAUUGAUGAAUCCAAGGUGCUUUUCAUUAAAUACUGGUCCUUCCUCAAGAAUUGUUGCUAGCAUGAAGGGAAUGGAUACUUCAUCGGGGGUAGGGGUGGGGGAGGGCAUUGGGCAAAAUAGGAGCUGCCUUUUUGGUAGGGACCACCCACCUAUGGAAAGAGAGGAGCAUCUUUUUAGCGUGGCUCACGGUGAAGGGCUGUGAGACAAUUCAAACCAUGGGGUUACAAUGGUUGUAAGGUCCACUGAAGCAAGAUGAAAAAAAGAAAACCCAGUCCAUGCUGUCAGUCACAAGGAAUGUGAUACAUGAUCACAAUCAGGUUUUUAAACACAGGAGCUCAGGUACAGCUGGAAGCAGGUAGCUGCUGCAGUACUGGGCUCAGCAAGGGUUAAGUUGCCCUGCCAAAAAGCAAUUGACCAUGUGGACACACCUGUGAAUUCUUGUGCGCACAGGAGUUACUGGACUUGCUAGAAAAACAUAACCUCUUUGUGUUCUUGAAACUCAAGGAAUUCUGUCUUUUAGUGACGUGCAACAUUAGAUAUGACUCCAUGAAAAGGAUAUUUGUUUAAAAUCCUAUUUCCUUUAUGGGCUUUUCUCUGAAGUCUAAAGUGGGUUUGCUUUACAUUUGAGUUGUUCAAGUUCAAAAUCCCGUGGCCAAGGGGAAACCUACAGAUACCCAAGUUCCACUGAAGCCCACAAGUCUCUAAGUGGUUUGUAUUCACUGUGUAGUGCACCAAGUUCCUGGACAAAUGCUGUCUAAUCCUUCAGUUGAGUUGCAAGUCUUGUGGCUCCUGCUAGUAGUUAAAAUAAUUUGCAACAAGUGUUGCUUGUUCAAUGUGGAAUGUACUUUCUGGUUUUUUGUUUGUUUGUUUUUUAAUGAAGUAUUCCAUUGAAGCUUCCUGUGGCACUCUGCCAUACACAUUCAUGUUGUGCAUGUGAAUGUAUGGGUUUUCUUUGGGAAUGUCGAAAAGAAACCUCUACAACAGCAAUUUAACUGAAACAAGAUUUGGUUUUAUGUCAUGCUGGUUUUAUUUUUAAGCGUUUUAAAAUGCUGAGUAUAUACGUAUAUACACACACAUAUGUAUUUAUACAGGAUAUAUAAACAAGUGCUUACAAUCAACAGAUCACAAAGUACCUUACAGAGAAUCUUAAUAUCUUUAUCCCCCUCGACAGACAGAGACACUUGAUAAUAAUCUGGCCCAAAUCAGGGACAGAUCUGGGAAUGGAGGCUUUGCUUUUUCAGCCUCAGCUGAAUGCUCUGGCUUGGACUGCUUCCCAGGGAUUCACAUCCUGUUUGACAUAAACCAACUGGAUUAUGCAUUCCCAACCUAUGUGUUGGGGGAAGGGAUAGAUAUAACUGACUAGUUGCAUACUUUUUGCUAUUACUCACUUAAAAUCGCAUGCAGCGUCACGAUGAUAUUUACAAGUAUUACUAAUUUCUGCAUGGAUACACCCCUCAUGACAAAGUAUCCCAGCUCCAGAGAAGCCACUCUGACUUCCCAGACCUGCUCUGUCCAAGCCCCUACUCACAGGUAUCUGGGGGCUGACUGUAGGAGAUGGGUCGAAGGAACAGAAAUAACUUUCAAUGAUAGUUGCUAAUUAAUUACCUUGCACAAGCCUAACCUUAUUCAGAUAGCUUGUCUUUACAAACCCUGCUGUUUUUUUCUCAUUUUCAUCAGGCUUCUUAUUACCUUAUCCUGGUCUAUGUAAGACCACCAGGUAUUUGUACCAACACCCAUUAAGGGUUUUCUAGGCAUUGAGGCUCCUUGGUGUUUAAAUACAGUGGAGGAUCUGACUUCUUGUCCAUCUAUAAGGGCAUAUAGACCACAUGACAGCAUUCUGACCACAUAUGAUAGCAACAGGCUGUGUGGCAACCAUAUUCCACCACAGCUCAUUUUGGGGUCGUGGAAUUGAAGUAGCAUGGCAAGUCAGGAGCUUAGAGAAAUAGAUAAAUAGGGCUUUUCUAUAGGGAAGAGAAGCUGGCUCUAUGAGUUCAGAUUAAAAACUGCUUUAAUCUAGGACAGGUGACACCUGACAGCAGCGUUCUUUUAUUUGUUGUAUCACAAUGAACAUAUACAUGUUAAAAUACAUAUAUAAAAAUAUACAAAGUACUUAAAGUAUAGAGUGUUCUUGCUAGAAACCUGUCUAGUAUUUCAGUAGUCUGCCAUUAAAAAGGACAACUUAAAUAGGCUGGUCAUUAACAACUACAUUAGGUUGUGCACCCUCUGCUUUCAGUAGUCCCCACAGUCUUGCUACUCUAUAAACCCUCAUUUGUAGCCCUGUUGUCGUCUUCCUGCUGCAGCAGCCUUUGUUGCCCCUAUUUCCUAGCCCUUUGCUUACCGUGUUUUUGGUUAUGCUAAGCUGCUGACCAGAAACACGUUGCCCUUCUGCCAUGUGGUGGGUCGGAAAUACUUCCAGUAUCUUCAUAUUGUCCAGACAUGGUCUAGCACACUUGGAAAAAUUGUUUGCAAAGAUAAACACAUUUCGGUUUGACAGAUCCACAGAAGUUAUGGUUGGGCUGGGUUAAGAAUAUUAUAUAGUUGGGAAACAACAGACACCUGAUCUGAGAGGAGUUUCAUCCUAUGAAAACCCCAUCCUAAAAGACUUUUAUGUUGAAGGGAUGGAUGGAUGGAACAUGACAUUCCUGAUAUGCUGUGGAGAGUAAAGGACAGAAGUUUGUUUGUCAAUGAGAAUAUCCUUGUCCCAGCAAAUGCAGACUUUGUUCAUAGUCUUCUGCAAAUAAAGGUCUAUAUGGGAUGCUGUAAUUUAAUUAGUAUUAAGGCUAUGUGCAGAGUGACUUGAAUUUGUUCCAGAAAUGGUUGCAGUGUUUUUGAGAAAAGAUUAUAACUUGAAAUUAAAAAGAGGAAAACAGAAUAUAAUGCUGGAGUUUGCAGAUAAUGAUCUAAUUGAGGAAGCUGAUAUAGGUCAGCUAUGUAGCUCUUCAGAGCUCUGAACAUGACCUAUAUUGCAAAAUAAUAAACACGUGCUAAGACAGAGUGCCGUAUGCUCACAGUAAAGCUACUUGUAAAAAGUUAUGUCAAGACUUCGUAUGUAUUCAGCAGUUUUCUUUGUAAUCCUGCUCUAUUUUACAAACUAACACAUUCCCCAGUGAGAUGCAGUAGAGAUAAACGUUGAAGAUGCCUUCAUCUGCAGAGGGGAGGGAGAGGCAAUUAAAAGCUGCAUGCUGUGAAAUCUCUGGGUACCAGCAGUGUCUGCACAGACUUUUAUAACACUUUAAGGAACAAUGGGUUUUCCGCUGUCUGGGGUGACUGAAUACAAACCGUUUUUGAAAGAGGACAGUAGCUCAGUUAUUUUCACACCAGCUAAAAUCCUGCUGGUUUGCAUAAAGGUUUCUAUUUACUGAUACCAAAGUUCUGGUGACAAACUGGCUUCUCCAGAGCAGACAAAUUCUAUUUUCUUUUAUCAGUACACACCAUUUCAUGUCUGACAAAGAAAGGGCAGACUUCUGAUAAUGUGGUGAAAGAACCUGGGGCAGAGCAGUGCCUGGUACUGGCCUCCAUCAGAGGAGGAAAAGCACAAAAGCACAAAAAUGCUAGCCUUGAUCUGAACUGAGCAGGGUUGCUUGCAAAAGUAGCAAGUGAGGAAGCUUUUUCCUUUUUUUAUUUGCUCCCUCCUACGUCAUUAUUGGGCUGAGUAGGGAAAGAAUUAUCUUUCUCUUUAAAGAUAUGAAUAAUAAUAAAUGGGUUAAUCUGCUCCAGAAAAAUGCUAAUUCCACAUGGGAGGCAGCUAAAGCCGCCCCAUGAGACCUCUACUUUUUUUCCUUCAGAAAAAAAUUUUCAUCAUGCAAAUUCUAAAGGCCACCAGCCAUUGGAGAGGAAAGAGAAACAGCAAAACGCUGUGUUUGCUUAUCAUUGUGGACCAAUUAUUCUUCCAGCAGCUGUUCUACUGUGUGUAGUUUCUUGGUUGCAAGUACUGUCUUUCUAAAACAUGGAUUUUUUUUGUCUGAGACCUGUUCAGUUUAAAAUACAUUCUUGUAUUUGAGAUGAGCUUAAAGCAGUGCACAUAGUGGUGCUUAUACAGGUAUGAAAUUUGUCUAUAGCUGUUAAAAGUCCUUUUCACUGGCUUAGUAUGCGAUGCGUUAUUAUACCAUGUAUUAUUACACUGAUGUAGCUAGAGUGAAGCUCAGUUUUCAGGCAUUAGGAUGACCCUUUUGACUUGGAUUGUGCCAAUAUGGAUUCUGUCAUUUCAAGUGUUCGUGAAUUCAUCAGUGGCCAAACACAACAAGGUGUAACUUCACUUCUGUGGACUUAAAUCUUUCCAUAUUGCCUUGCGUGAAUAUUUUUGUUUUAAAUAACUUCUGCAUUUGGUUAUUCAGUGGGAAAAAAGCCAAAUGUUUUAAAGACGUAUCAAAAAUCAUUUGUUUUGGCUAAUAGUACGUUUCCUGGAUAACCUCAUCCAGGAGAGAUUUUAAGUGUGGUACCUGUUCAGAGCCUGGACCCUCAGAGCACAGCAUAACCUCCAUUUCCCAAGUCCAUCAUUCCCACCACACAUGAACAAGGCAGGCAGUUUUGCAAGGACCAUGGGACAAGGGGCCAUCCUGUGGGUGCUGCUGGAGAGCAGGUGAUUAAACAAAUGAAGGGAAAUCAUGCUGUACAAAAACACCCCAGGCAGGCUCACACUGAGGCAGUCAGAAGGACUUGGGAGUCUCUUCUCUGUUUCUACUCUGGGUGAAGUGUAAAUAAAAGUAAAUAUAUGUGUGUAUACAUGUGCUGCUCAAGCUACUUGAUGCUACCUCUGCUACAUUGGGAUUCUGUUACAUUGGGAAGUUGUGAUUUAAUUUGUAGCUAAAAUCAUCUCGUUAGCAUGAGCAAGACCCCUAAAACCAACCGAAGUAGUUGUGCAGUUACCGGUUUUCAGAGUGUUGAAUUUCUACAUCUGUAACUUCUGAUUCUAGUGCUGUAUCCCUUAUGGUAGUAAAGAAGGUAGUGAAACUAAUUUUAAAAUUCUGGAAUUAAUUUUAAGAUAAUACUAAGAAUUUAAUAAGUGCCCAAGAGCAUCUUAUACCAAAAGGCUUACUGAAAGUUAGUGGGUCCUGUGCUUUGCUUGCUAAUGCUCUGGACUUUAAGAUUCAGGAUUCUUGGUGUGUUUCACAAUGGCCUAGCUCCUGAAAUCAAGGCAUUUUCUUUGUUCUUCUUUCCCUCCUUUGAAGUUAUGUUUCUGUUCCUUGUAAAGAAAAGGUUGAAAACACAAAAGUGAGUAAAAAGGUUCAGAAGUAAAAAGCAAAUAUAAAUAAAUCUAGAUCUUUUUUCA